UACAGAGGUCCCGAGCGUUGUUCGGAUUCACUGGGCGUAAAGGGUGCGUAGGUGGUGGAGUAAGUUUGAUGUGAAAUCUCCGGGCUUAACCCGGAAACUGCAUUGAAUACUAUUUUGCUGGAGGUUUGGAGGGGGGACUGGAAUUCUCGGUGUAGCAGUGAAAUGCGUAGAUAUCGGGAGGAACACCAGUGGCGAAGGCGACUUCCUGGCCUGUUCUUGACGCUGAGGCGCGAAAGCUAGGGUAGCAAACGGG
rnacentral:rRNA from 1 species